AACCUAGCACACCUGCGGUGUGUACCUGCGGAAGGAUCAUUACCGAGUUAGCGUAGUCACACUGCCCGACCUCCCAACCCUGUGUCUACCAUACCUUGUCGUUGCUUCGGCGGACCGGUUGACCAACUGGUCAUGACCGCCGGGGGCUGGCUCUGUCCCCCCUGGAGAGCGUCCGCCGAUGGCCCAACCACAAAACUCUUGUACCGAAACGUGUCGUCUGAAUUAUGUUUGAGAAAUCAA
rnacentral:misc_RNA from 1 species